UUUCCGCACUGCCAUGAGAUCUUUGAUGUCCACAUGGGACAGGCAGGACUUGGGAUUGGAAAGCCUCCUCUGAGACAGUGAGAUCACAGACGCAUCAUCCCCUGGUGGAAAGUGCAUCUGACCUGCAGAGAAGUCAAAGAAUGAGGCUAUUCAUUGCUGGCCUCGGGGAUGAGAUGAUUCCGUUUCUCAUGGACUCAAGUGUUCGUCAAGGAUCCGGUUUCUCUUUCCUUGUGGAUAAGCCAUUGAAAGAGACUUUCCUACAGAACUGCCCCUACGGACACCCAGCUGCCCUAUAAUGCAUGGCUUUUCCAUCGAGGUUUUCAAGGAAGCCGUUCAAGGAGGAGGCACCAUCUGGCCAAGGAUGAGAAGGAACCAGCUGCUAAUGGGGCGGCGCGAGAGAGAGCUCAGUGACCAAACCGGGCUGCUGUUCAUCUCGGAGGAUCCACCUUGACGCGUCCCAUGGCAGUGCAUGAUGGGAGGUGGGUGGCAGUGCUGGACUGUGGGCUCCCCCACGGGGUGUGUCCUCAGUGUUACCCACCCCAGGGAACUCCCACUCGCUGUGCUAAGCAAGUUACAGCUGUCCUGAGUGCUGGUCUACUGGGCCAGCCCUUCUGCUCGCGUAAACCAGUGUAGCUAGCACGGAAGUCAAUGGAACCAUAACAAUUAACACCAUCUGAGGAUCUGGCCUUACUCUGUUCACUGAGAUGAUAAAGGAGAGACCUCAGUCAUCAAGUCAUCUCUAUAAAACCCUUUGAGUGAUACAGCAUUCGCCCCUUCUCCGCCAUAUUAAACUCUUCCCCAUGAAAGAGGAAGCAAAAAAGUCUUGGAGACAAAAUGCCCACUGCACUACUCAGGCACUCAGAUACUGUAGUGAUGGGGCCAUAAAAGUACUUAGAUGUGUGGGAGAGGUUCCCUACCCUACAGAGCUCAUACUAUAAAUAAGAUCGUCUAGUCUAAAUAUCUAUUAAACAGCUGUUUGAUCAUCAUAAACCAGA